rnacentral:lncRNA from 1 species
CAGAAUGAUUUGUUUGGUAUAAAGAGGCCUGAGGCCAUUCAAAGUUGUCUGCCUGAUGCAUUGUGAAUGAUUGGGAUUUGGUUUUCAAUAUUAAUUGUAUAUUUACAGGUAAAAUUUUUGGGAAAUGAGUGAAUUACAGGGGAGACUCUGCCGAAAUUUCAGCAGAAGUCAAAUCGUAAAAGAAAUUUGAGCCUUAAUUAGAAGGGCAAUUUGGUGAAGUGUGCCCGGCACCUGUCAAGUGUUGGACACGCACAAGGUUCGGCUUAGAUUCCAAAGUGGAAUUUGGGUCGGGUCCUGUCAUCCCUGCCCUCUCC